UUGAAAAUCAUGAGAUAAAAAUAAAUUAUUACUGCUAACAAAAUGAGUAACGAAUAAAACUUUUCGAGGUAGAAAAAGCAGCGGGAAAAUUGAAACAAAAUCGAGAAAAGCAUAAACCAUAGCUCAAAACGCAAGAGCUAAUUGAAGAAAUGUCAAAUUCAGCUUCUGAAGAGCACGAUCACGGUGAUGGAGUGGAAGAGUUAGGGGAGUUACGUGAGCCGCCUUAUCAGAACCCUUCCGCACCUCCUCACGAGUCAUUCGAUGUAUCAACAACGGUUGAUCCAAGUUACGUGAUAUCUUUGAUAAGGAGACUUCUGCCAUCGGAUGUGAAUGGUUUGGUUCGUGAAGAACCAGCAGCUGAAGGCGUAAUAGAGGAUGCCACAAACUUGCCUGAAAAUGGCGGAGAAGCUGAAGCAAUGGAAUCUUCUGAGAACCAUGAUAAAUUAGAGGGACGAGAACUGUCGAAUGGUUAUAAAGAUGAAGGAGGAACUGUUGGAGAACGAACUUGGGAAGAAUGUGGAUGUAUUUUAUGGGAUCUUGCCGCAAGUGAAGAUCAUGCUCAAUUUAUGGUUCAAAAUCUCAUCCUUGAAGUGCUUUUGGCUAGUCUUGCAGUUUCUCCAUCCUCGCGUAUUACUGAGAUUAGUCUUGGAAUCAUCGGAAACCUUGCUUGCCAUGAAACUGCCAGAAAAUGUAUAGCCUCUGUUAAUGGAAUGGUUGGAGCUAUAGUUGAGCAAUUACUUAUUGAUGAUGUACCUUGCCUCUGUGAGGCCUGCAGGGUGUUAAGCUUGUGCCUGCAAGGAGGUGAAGGUAUUAUUUGGGCAGAAGCAUUGCAGCCGGAGCAUAUCCUCUCUCGUAUCCUCUGGAUUGCUGAAAAUGCCCUGAAUCCACAGCUUAUUGAAAGGAGUGUAGGUUUAUUGAUGGCUAUUUUGGAGAGUCAACAGGAAGUAGCAACUAUUCUUGUUCCACCUUUGUUGAAAUUGGGCCUUUCAAGUCUUCUGAUUAAACUCUUGGCUUUCGAAAUGACCAAAUUAAAGGAAGAUAGGACGCCUGAGAGGUAUAGUGUGCUGGAUCUGAUUCUACGGACAAUUGAAGAGCUCUCGACUAUGGAUAACUGUUCAGAAGAAAUAUGUGAAAAUAAAGAGCUGUUACAAUUAGCACGAGAGCUGAUCGAUCUUCCUGAUAAAUUCGAGGUUGCCAGUUCUUGUGUGACUGCUGCAGUGUUGAUAGCGAAUAUCCUUACUGAUGCAACCCACUUCACUUCUGACUUAUCACAAGAUUUGAACUUCUUGAAGGGUCUAUUUGAUGUGUUCCCCUUUGCUUCUGAGGACACAGAAGCUCAGACUGCGAUUUGGAGCAUUAUUUCGAGAAUAUUGACAGUACUUCAAGAAAGGGAGAUGACUCCAGCAAUAUUGAACUUUCUCGUUUCAAUUCUUGCAAGCAAAUUGGAUCUGAUUGAAGAUGAACUCCUUGCCCACCCAUCCGAUCAUGAAGAACAAAGAUUCCUUUGUACAUCAUUCCCUAUCACUUUGUUCCCUUUACUUACUUGGCAGAUGAAAAGAACCUUCGAUAUUUUGACGUAUUGGAAAUCAUCCGAUGAUAGCAUAAAGAACACAUCUUUUGCUGAAGGCUGCUGCAUUAAGGAAGAAGAUGUUGAUAAACUGUUGGAUCUCUGUCGCAAAGCUUCCAGGUGAGAGAAACUGCUCUGUUUCCUAUCACUCACCUGUGGGGCAUCUGACCUCCAUGUUUAGAUAGGUUUACUACCAGCCUAUAGUUGGCAAUCUGGAUUCUAGAAUGAGGAUCUGGACGAACUUGACCUAGAUGUGGCUCUCUCAUCAAGAAAGAACUCAAAAUGUAGUGCUGUGAAAACUCAAUUCUAGAGUUGAUCUUGGAUUUCAAAGUUGGCUCCAAGUGUGAUUCUUUUCAGCAUAUGUUAUAUCAAAUUUUAAAUUUGGUUUUGUUUCUUUCAAA